UCUCUCUUUCCCCUCUCCCUCUCCUCCUUCCUCCCUCCCUCCCUCUCUCUUUCUCUCUCUCUCUUGGUCAGGCAAAAAUCCUACCCUUCAAUGCAUGGGCAACAGAGGAUUCUGUAGGCCUUCCUGCAAAAAGGGUGAACAGGCCUACUUCUACUGCAGAACUUACCAGAUAUGCUGCCUCCAGUCCCAUGUGAGGAUCAGCCUGACAGGCGUAGAGGACAACACUAACUGGUCUUAUGAGAAACACUGGCCAAGAAUACCGUGAAUGCUGGUACGCCAUGCACAGACUUCCAGAGAAGCUGGCCCUGCAGCCUACCUCCUUAUUAAAAUGUAUGCAUCUGACAA
rnacentral:lncRNA from 1 species